rnacentral:rRNA from 1 species
GAUGAACGCUGGCGGCGUGCCUAAUACAUGCAAGUCGAGCGAACGGAUGAGAAGCUUGCUUCUCUGAUGUUAGCGGCGGACGGGUGAGUAACACGUGGAUAACCUAACUAUAAGACUGGGAUAACUUCGGGAAACCGGAGCUAAUAACGGAUAAUAUUUUGAACCGCAUGGUUCAAAAGUGAAAGAAGGUCUUGCUGACACUUAUAGAUGGCUCCGCGCUGCAUGCGCUAGUUGGUAAGGUAACGGCUUAGCAAGGCUACGAUGGAUAGCCGACCUGAGAGAGUGAUCGCCCACACGGGAUGUGAGACACGGUACAGACUCCUACGGUGGGCAGCAGUAGGGAAUCUUCCGCGAGGGACGAGAGCCUGACAGAGCAACGCCGCGUGAGGGAUGAAGGUCUUCUGAUCGGUAAACUCUGUUAUUAGGGGAGUUCAAAUGUGUAAGUAACUGUGCACAUAUUGACGGUACCUGAUCAGAAAGCCACGGCUAACUACGUG